rnacentral:rRNA from 1 species
AGCAGGCGCGUAAAUUGCCCGAAUCCUGACACAGGGAGGUAGUGACAAGAAAUAACAAUACAGGGCUACUUCUAGUCUUGUAAUUGGAAUGAGUACAACUUACAUCUCUUCACGAGGAUCAAUUGGAGGGCAAGUCUGGUGCCAGCAGCCGCGGUAAUUCCAGCUCCAAAAGCGUAUAUUAAAGUUGUUGCAGUUAAAACGCUCGUAGUCGGGUUUCGGGUCGGGCCGAGCGGUCUGCCGAUGGGUAUGCACUGUUUGGCGCGGCCUUCUUUCCGGAGACCGCGGCUACUCUUAACUGAGCGGGCGUGGGAGACGGAUCGUUUACUUUGAAAAAAUCAGAGUGUUUCAAGCAGGCAGCUCGCUCUUACAUGGUACAGCAUGGGAUGAUUGAAUAGGACUUCGGUGCUAUUUUGUUGGUUUCGAACACCAGGAGUAAUGAUUAACAGGGACAGUCAGGGGCACUCGUAUUCCGUCRAGAGAGGUGAAAUUCUCAGACCAAUGGAAGACGAACCACUGCGAAAGCAUUUGCCAGGGAUGUUUUCACUGAUCAAGAACGAAAGUUAGGGGAUCGAAGACGAUCAGAUACCGUCGUAGUCUUAACCAUAAACCAUGCCGACUAGGGAUUGGAGGGUGUUCGUUUCGACCUCUUCAGCACCUUACGGGAAACUAAAGUCUUUGGGUUCCGGGGGGAGUAUGGUCGCAAGGCUGAAACUUAAAGGAAUUGACGGAAGGGCACCACCAGGAGUGGAGCCUGCGGCUUAAUUUGACUCAACACGGGGAAACUUACCAGGUCCAGACAUUGUUAGGAUUGACAGAUUGAGAGCUCUUUUCUUGAUUCGAUGGGUGGUGGUGCAUGGGCCGUUCUUAGUUGGUGGAGUGAUUUGUCUGGGUUAAUUCCGAUAACGAACGAGACCGUAGCCUGCUAAAUAGUCCCGCGAACUUCUUGUUGGCGGCCGACUUCUUAGAGGGACAACUUGCGACCAACAAGUGGAAGUUUGCGGCAAUAACAGGUCUGUGAUGCCCUUAGAUGUUCUGGGCCGCACGCGCGCUACACUGAAGCACUCAACGAGUCCACCUCGACCGACAGGUCUGGGAAACCUUUUGAAAUUGCUUCGUGAUGGGGAUAGAUUAUUGCAACUAUUAAUCUUCAACGAGGAAUUCCUAGUAAGCGCAUGUCAUCAGCGCGCGUUA